rnacentral:rRNA from 1 species
AUUGAACGCUAGCGGGAUGCUUUACACAUGCAAGUCGAACGAGAGGCGGACGGGUGAGUACUAUAUCGGCACGUGACCAGUCGCGGGGUAUAACUACUCGAAAGCGUGGCUAAUACUGCUUACGAUUGGAGCGGCCGCUAUCGGAUUAGCUAGUUGGGGGGGUAAAGGCUCACAAAGGCAAAGAUCCGUAGCUGUAGUGAGAGGACGACCAGCCACACUGGGACUGAGACACGGCCCAGACUCCGACGGGAGGCAGCAGUGGGGAAUUUUGGACAAUGGGGGAAAGCCUGAUCCAGCCAUCCCGCGUGUAUGAGAAGGCCUUCGGUUUGUAAAGUGCUUUUGGCAGAGAAGCGGUAUCUGCAGAAUAAGCACCGGCUAACUACGUGCCAGCAGCCGCGGUAAUAC